GAUGAACGCUGGCGGCGUGCCUAAUACAUGCAAGUCGAGCGAACGGACGAGAAGCUUGCUUCUCUGAUGUUAGCGGCGGACGGGUGAGUAACACGUGGAUAACCUACCUAUAAGACUGGGAUAACUUCGGGAAACCGGAGCUAAUACCGGAUAAUAUUUUGAACCGCAUGGUUCAAAAGUGAAAGACGGUCUUGCUGUCACUUAUAGAUGGAUCCGCGCUGCAUUAGCUAGUUGGUAAGGUAACGGCUUACCAAGGCAACGAUGCAUAGCCGACCUGAGAGGGUGAUCGGCCACACUGGAACUGAGACACGGUCCAGACUCCUACGGGAGGCAGCAGUAGGGAAUCUUCCGCAAUGGGCGAAAGCCUGACGGAGCAACGCCGCGUGAGUGAUGAAGGUCUUCGGAUCGUAAAACUCUGUUAUUAGGGAAGAACAUAUGUGUAAGUAACUGUGCACAUCUUGACGGUACCUAAUCAGAAAGCCACGGCUAACUACGUGCCAGCAGCCGCGGUAAUACGUAGGUGGCAAGCGUUAUCCGGAAUUAUUGGGCGUAAAGCGCGCGUAGGCGGUUUUUUAAGUCUGAUGUGAAAGCCCACGGCUCAACCGUGGAGGGUCAUUGGAAACUGGAAAACUUGAGUGCAGAAGAGGAAAGUGGAAUUCCAUGUGUAGCGGUGAAAUGCGCAGAGAUAUGGAGGAACACCAGUGGCGAAGGCGACUUUCUGGUCUGUAACUGACGCUGAUGUGCGAAAGCGCGGGGAUCAAACAGGAUUAGAUACCCUGGUAGUCCACGCCGUAAACGAUGAGUGCUAAGUGUUAGGGGGUUUCCGCCCCUUAGUGCUGCAGCUAACGCAUUAAGCACUCCGCCUGGGGAGUACGACCGCAAGGUUGAAACUCAAAGGAAUUGACGGGGACCCGCACAAGCGGUGGAGCAUGUGGUUUAAUUCGAAGCAACGCGAAGAACCUUACCAAAUCUUGACAUCCUUUGACAACUCUAGAGAUAGAGCUUUCCCCUUCGGGGGACAAAGUGACAGGUGGUGCAUGGUUGUCGUCAGCUCGUGUCGUGAGAUGUUGGGUUAAGUCCCGCAACGAGCGCAACCCUUAAGCUUAGUUGCCAUCAUUAAGUUGGGCACUCUAAGUUGACUGCCGGUGACAAACCGGAGGAAGGUGGGGAUGACGUCAAAUCAUCAUGCCCCUUAUGAUUUGGGCUACACACGUGCUACAAUGGACAAUACAAGGGGCAGCGAAACCGCGAGGUCAAGCAAAUCCCAUAAAGUUGUUCUCAGUUCGGAUUGUAGUCUGCAACUCGACUACAUGAAGCUGGAAUCGCUAGUAAUCGUAGAUCAGCAUGCUACGGUGAAUACGUUCCCGGGUCU
rnacentral:rRNA from 1 species